GACGAACGCUGGCGGCGUGCUUAACACAUGCAAGUCGAACGGUAAGGCUCCAGCUUGCUGGGGUACACGAGUGGCGAACGGGUGAGUAACACGUGGGUGACCUGCCCUGCACUUCGGGAUAAGCCUGGGAAACUGGGUCUAAUACCGGAUAGGACCGCACCGUGAGGGUGUGGUGGAAAGUUUUUUCGGUGUGGGAUGGGCCCGCGGCCUAUCAGCUUGUUGGUGGGGUAAUGGCCUACCAAGGCGGCGACGGGUAGCCGGCCUGAGAGGGUGGACGGCCACAUUGGGACUGAGACACGGCCCAGACUCCUACGGGAGGCAGCAGUGGGGAAUAUUGCACAAUGGGCGGAAGCCUGAUGCAGCGACGCCGCGUGGGGGAUGACGGCCUUCGGGUUGUAAACUCCUUUCACCAUCGACGAAGGGUUUCUGACGGUAGAUGGAGAAGAAGCACCGGCUAACUACGUGCCAGCAGCCGCGGUAAUACGUAGGGUGCGAGCGCUGUCCGGAAUUACUGGGCGUAAAGAGCUCGUAGGUGGUUUGUCGCGUCGUCUGUGAAAUUCCGGGGCUUAACUCCGGGCGUGCAGGCGAUACGGGCAUAACUUGAGUACUGUAGGGGAGACUGGAAUUCCUGGUGUAGCGGUGAAAUGCGCAGAUAUCAGGAGGAACACCGGUGGCGAAGGCGGGUCUCUGGGCAGUAACUGACGCUGAGGAGCGAAAGCAUGGGGAGCGAACAGGAUUAGAUACCCUGGUAGUCCAUGCCGUAAACGGUGGGCGCUAGGUGUGGGUUUCCUUCCACGGGAUCCGUGCCGUAGCUAACGCAUUAAGCGCCCCGCCUGGGGAGUACGGCCGCAAGGCUAAAACUCAAAGGAAUUGACGGGGGCCCGCACAAGCGGCGGAGCAUGUGGAUUAAUUCGAUGCAACGCGAAGAACCUUACCUGGGCUUGACAUAUACAGGAUCGCGCCAGAGAUGGUGUUUCCCUUGUGGCUUGUAUACAGGUGGUGCAUGGUUGUCGUCAGCUCGUGUCGUGAGAUGUUGGGUUAAGUCCCGCAACGAGCGCAACCCUUGUCUUAUGUUGCCAGCACGUUGUGGUGGGGACUCGUAAGAAACUGCCGGGGUUAACUCGGAGGAAGGUGGGGAUGACGUCAAAUCAUCAUGCCCCUUAUGUCCAGGGCUUCACACAUGCUACAAUGGUCGGUACAGUGGGUUGCCAGUCCGUGAGGGCGAGCUAAUCCCGCAAAGCCGGUCUCAGUUCGGAUCGGGGUCUGCAACUCGACCCCGUGAAGUCGGAGUCGCUAGUAAUCGCAGAUCAGCAACGCUGCGGUGAAUACGUUCCCGGGCCU
rnacentral:rRNA from 1 species